rnacentral:rRNA from 1 species
CCUACGGGUGGCAGCAGUGAGGAAUAUUGGUCAAUGUCCGGAAGGCUGAACCAGCCAUGCCGCGUGAAGGUCAGUGCCCUAUGGGCGUUAAACUUCUUUUGUGCGGGAGCAAUAAUGGUCACGUGUGGCCAGACGAGAGUACCGUACGAAUAAGCAUCGGCUAACUCCGUGCCAGCAGCCGCGGUAAUACGGGGGAUGCAAGCGUUAUCCGGAUUUAUUGGGUUUAAAGGGUGCGUAGGCUGGGAGGUAAGUCAGCGGUGAAAUGCCCCCGCUCAACGGGGUGAAGUGCCAUUGAUACUGCCUGGCUGGAAUGCGGAUGCCGUGGGAGGAAUGUGUGGUGUAGCGGUGAAAUGCAUAGAUAUCACACAGAACACCGAUUGCGAAGGCAUCUCACGAAGCCGCGAUUGACGCUGAUGCACGAAAGCGUGGGUAUCAAACAGGAUUAGAUACCCCAGUAGUC